rnacentral:rRNA from 1 species
AAUCAACGCUGGCGGCGUGCCUCAGACAUGCAAGUCGAACGUGAAAGGCUUCUUCGGAAGCCGAGUAAAGUGGCGCACGGGUGAGUAACACGUGAGUAAUCUGCCUUCACGGUGGGGAGUACCAAUCGGAACGGUUGUUAAUACCGCAUAAUGCAGCGGCAUCAUAAGAUGACAGUUGUUAAAGACGGGGGAGGCGAAGCAAUUCGUCCU